UCCGGAGGGUGCAAUCGUUGUUCGGAAUCACUGGGCGUAAAGCGCGUGUAGGCGGCCUCUUAAGUCUGGUGUGAAAGCCCGGGGCUCACCCCCGGAAGGGCACUGGAUACUGGGAGGCUAGAGUACCGGAGAGGAGGGUGGAAUUCCUGGUGUAGCGGUGAAAUGCGUAGAUAUCAGGAGGAACACCGGUGGCGAAGGCGGCCCUCUGGACGGCUACUGACGCUGAGACGCGAAAGCGUGGGGAGAAAACAGG
rnacentral:rRNA from 1 species